GACGAACGCUGGCGGCGUGCUUAACACAUGCAAGUCGAACGAUGAAGCCGGAGCUUGCUCUGGUGAAUUAGUGGCGAACGGGUGAGUAACACGUGAGUAACCUGCCCUUGACUCUGGGAUAACUGCUAGAUAUGGUAGCUAAUACCGGAUACGACCCUCGGAGGCAUCUCCAGGGGGUGGAAAGAAUUUCGGUCAAGGAUGGACUCGCGGCCUAUCAGCUAGUUGGUGAGGUAACGGCUCACAAAGGCGGCGAAGGGUAGACGGCCUGAGAGGGUGACCGGCCACACUGGGACUGAGGGACGGCCCAGGCUCCUACGGGAGGCAGCAGUGGGGAAUAUUGAACAAUGGGCGCAAGCCUGAUGCAGCAACGCCGCGUGAGAGAUGACGGCCUUCGGGUUGUAAACCUCUUUUAGUAGGGAAGAAGCGAAAGUGACGGUACCUGCAGAAAAAGCACCGGCUAACUACGUGCCAGCCGCCGCGGUAA
rnacentral:rRNA from 1 species